CUCCCCUUUUUCCUCUCCACCGCAGCGUCGUCCUCGUGCCGCCGCGCCGCCGCCUUCGUGCCGCCGCGCCGCUGCCCUCGGUGCCGCCGCGCCGCACCGUGUGCCGCGCCAGGCGUCGCCUCGCCUUGCGCCGCCGUCGCCGCCACCGCCGUCGGUAAGCCGCCGCCCCUUCCCUCGUUCCGCCGCCGUCGCCGCCCGGGGAGAAAGAAGCCGGGAGGGAGAGAGAGAAAAGAAGAGAGGAAAAAGAAAGAAAAAAAAGAGAAAAAAGAAAAAGAAGAAAGGGAGGGAAAAGAGAAAGAAAGAAGGGAGGAAAAGAAAAGGAAAAAUAAAUAGAAAAUUAGAGAGAGAAUAAGGAGGUUUAGAAAAUUUAAAAUAAUUAGAGUUUAAUUAUAGAUUAAUUAUAGUCGUAGAAUUGCAAAAUUUAAUAUAAUUAUAGAUUAUUUUUGGUAAUCUCUAUAAGUAAUCAAUUCGCGGUAGGAGUUUAGAUUUAUUAAGAGCUAAAUAAUUAUGUUGAAUUCUUAGGAAUGUACUUCUAAAUCACAAAAUGACUUAGGUUAAAAGAUCCAACAAUUCGAAUAAAGUGGUUUCGCAAACUUUGUAGUCAAUAUAAAAAGAUCGAUUCACAUUCGACCUUUUGAGUUAUUUAGAUUUUAAUUGAAUUCUAAUUGAAUUCAAAUCAUUUCCUCGCACGUAAUUUUAGAACCCGAGGGAGUUGCGGAUCCGAACGAGGGUCAAGACCCGCAGGACUACGAGCAAGGCAAGUCAUCACUAUUCCUUGAACAUAUUGAUCCCAAUUGCGAAAUUGUUUUGUUUACAAAUAAAAUUGCAUGCAAUGAUAAACAUCCUACUUGUUAUUAUGCCAUGCCUUGAUUAUUGUUUACCCUUAAAAUCCUUGUAACCAUGAUUACGUAUGAGUCCCUAGUCAAGUAUGACAAUUGCUUAAAAAUGCUAUUCUAGAAUCAUGCAUACUCAUAUUUAUCAAAUGCUAUAUGCUUGGGCAGGUAAUUGAGAUGCGGCAUGUGGAGACAUGAGCGCCACAUUGCCAUGAUGUUGAUGACAUGAUUUGUGAAAGGAGAAACAAAAUUAAACAAUUGUUUUCGACUGGGGCGGACGGAGGAUUUGGGUGGUAUCUGGAAAAGGCUAGUACCGUCCCCGGUCAAUUAAGGACUGAGCCAUGAAGUUAAGCAUGAAACGACCCCCGUACAACCGUACUUCUCGUAUGGGUAUAGACCUAGCGGAUUAGAUAGCCGAGCGGAGGCAAUAUCCCUGCAUAGAUGGUUCACCCCUGAGUGAGGCAGGUGCGCUACGGUGGGACAGGCGUUGAGGUAGGGCCGAGAGGCGUGCCCUACAUCGGUGUCGCCAUUGGUAGGACUGCCAUGAGUGUAUGAGAGAGAGAAUUUAACUUGAACCAUAAUUUAAUAUGUGUGUGAGACUUCUCUUUCCCGGGAGCGCCAGAACUCCUCUCACUGCUAGAAACAUGGACGCCUAGAGUGCAUGAGGAUUUAAGUUCAUGGAGCGGGUACUGCCAAUGCGGGGUUAUCGAAAACCUUUGUCGUGACGCGUCUUAUGUGUUGGGACGAGGCUCAUGUGUUGGGCAGUCACGGAGUGCGGGUAAAGUGUACAUCCACUGCAGUGUGAGUAAACCAAAUCUAUUCGAAUAGCCGUGCUCGCGGUUAUUGAGCACCGGGACGUGUAUUACACUUGGCUAGACUCAAAAUUCUUGACUUGUGUGGGAUGGGAUAUUGCAUGAUGAUUUUUAUGCUGUUGGAGCCACUUCCUGAGAGGCUGGAAGGUGGACGUCCUCAGAAAACCAUGACGACUCAAUGGCGGGAAGCUAUCCUUGGGAUCACAAUGGAUGGUAGACAGAACCGUCGUUGUUUAACUGUGAACACUGGUACUAAAAUUUGAUCAGUCAAUGCUGGGUCUUAGGCUUGUGAAAAGAAUUACAAAACUGGCUUUGCGCAAAGAACCAUGGCCAUCCUUUGAAUACCCCUAUCAUGUGCAUUGUUGCUGUGAUGGCUUGCUGAGUACGGUUGGUACUCACUCUUGCAAUAUAUAAACUUAAUCAGAGGCCGGAGACGAAGCUUCGGAGGAUCCCUACGCGUACUACCAGGAGGGUGAUGAAGACGAUGGCGCCCAAUAGGUCUUAGUUACGGUCGUUGCCUGUGGCAAUGGCGUGCCGCUGCCUAAACUCCGCUGCCUUAUCUACUCUGCUUUUGGAAUGUAUUCCGGACCGCUCGGUCUGAUGAUCUAAGACUAUGCCUGCGGGCUUAUGAUGUAAUAAUCCGCACUAGACUUUCGUGUAUGUGCAUUUGGUAUUUCAGCUAUGAACUCGUGUGUACCAGACUACUUGAUCCAGGGAAAUGGUACUGUUCACACGAUUGAUUCCUGUUAUAAAAACGGGGGUCCACAGAGCUGGUAUCAGAGCCAUACGACUGUAGGAAAAGACAAAAAAGGCGCCCCACCCCUUUUCUAGUUGGCCAAGGGAGAAAUUCCUAUUUAGUAAUACUUUCAAAAAUAAAAAAAAACGUUAUGUUUACAAAACUCUAUACAAUUUUCAUCUUACUCUUAACUAUUUUCUUCACAAAACAAGUUUUACUCUUAGCUGACUUUGGGUUUUUUUUUUCAUCUGAAGGUACAAAAUGAGGCCAGGCCACAAGAAAGCAUUUCAGGAGCAUCCAACCUUACACCAGUAAGACCAACAUACUCUCCUGAGAAAGACAUAACAACAAAUCAGUGAAAACGAUCUCCAAAGAUAGUCUCCCAUCAACCUAUAACUUAUAUGGUGUAAAAUUAUAACUAAUUUACAAUUAUAUCAAAAUUCAACAGAUGAAUCCUAGUGGACAGGCAAUAAAAAAUCUGGCCACAUACAUUUCUUUCUUUUUACCAGGUCAUGAUGGAGGUUUGGUCAAAAUUUAUUAAGAUGAUGGGAGAAACAGAGUGGCCACAUAUAUUUCCACACCCACACAUUUUAAAGUCAUGUAAUAAUAUGAUAAGCACUCAAGGAUGCAUAGCACAUGGGGCUUUCAGUAUUAAUAAUCAGUUUUAGACAUUGCAAAGAGAAUUCAUAUGAUCAUGUGUGAAAGUUCAGUUGAAUAAAGGAGAUAUGAGAUAGGAAAAUAGUUCACCACAUAGAACCCAGGAAGUCGAGAUAGAAAAUAUGAGGCCCCAAUAUCUGGAAAGAGACCCAAUGCUGUUUCUGGCAUAGCAAAAACCUGCAUAGAUAGUAGUAAAAAUACAGAGUCAAACUCUAGGCAUAUGCUGGUAAGCUGUUUAUCCCAUGAAAAGAAUCAAGCAAGCUUUUUUCUGCACCCCUGCUACAUCCUUUUUGAAAAUAUUUAAGUAAAAAUGGAAGCUUCAUAUAGAGUUUGUUCCGUAAUAUAUACCGUGCUCUCUGUGACAACUCGGAACCUUCCAUGUAUAGAAACACCGGCACCUCCACCCAUGACAAUUCCAGUGAGAAGUGAAACCUAGAUAAGAGUGUUGUAGCAUUCAGUGGUAAGCAUUGAGCAAUAAUGACAAUAACAAUUAUGUGGACAAGCAGUUUCAAAGCAAUAGCGAUAGCUCACCUGAGGUUUGUUAUAUGUUGCAAUGAUAUAGUUCAACAGAAAUUCAUUUCGGAAAAAAUGAGCACUAUAUUUCCAGCUAUCUGAUAUAAGAAAUGCAUAGUAGAACUAAUCAAAUGUCAAGAACAAAAUUCUCUAUAUAUUGCAUGUUAACAGUGAAUUAGCAUAUAGCAAAUGGAAAGGCAAUGGAAGUUAAAGAAAAACAGCAUGGAAGCUCAAGAUAUUUGACAUCAGGGUCUCAUGGAUGCAUGAUAUGUUUUAUUUACCAUUAUUUAUAGACCGGACAACUGCAGCAACAUCUCCACCAGCACAAAAUGCUCUUCCUUUCCCCUGACAAAGGAAAAAACAAGUGAUGACAAGAAUGGUAGGGAGUUAUAGAAAUCAAGCUGAGCACAAACAGCAGCAGUAAAGGUAACAGCAGGAGGUAGUAAAGUUGGAAUUAUCCCAAUAAGUCAAGACUCAUAUAUCAGCAACAGAAAAUCAAUUACAUUUACAAAUGGCAAAAGGACAGUUAGCAUGCAACAAAAAGCAUGGACAGCAUUGGUGUUUUACGUUACUACAACUUGGUUGUACAUGAUUCAAACUUCAAUAAGCGGAUGAAACUUUGAAUGCUCGAUUUUGGAAAUUUAAUCGGGUAAUUCAUGUUUGAUGUUAGCUAGUACCUCGUUAUUCUUUUUUUUAAUCAAAGAUAAACCUCAAAAUACAUUGUUUAAAUAUGGAC
rnacentral:lncRNA from 1 species